rnacentral:rRNA from 1 species
UUUUAAUAAACUAAACGUUACCGAAACGGUAAAAGACGAGCAUGCCGUCCCUAUUUAGUUAGUUAGGUAAGGUAACGGUCUUAACCAAGACAAUGAGUGGGUAGGGGUCCUGAGAGGGAGAUCCCCCACACUGGUACUGAGACACGGACCAGACUCCUACGGGAGGCAGCAGUGAGGAAUAUUAGACAAUGGGCGCAAGCCUGAUCCAGCCAUGCCGCGUGCAGGAAGACGGUCCUAUGGAUUGUAAACUGCUUUUGUACAGGAAGAAACACUCCCUCGUGAGGGAGCUUGACGGUACUGUAAGAAUAAGGAUCGGCUAACUCCGUG